UACAGAGGGUGCAAGCGUUAAUCGGAUUUACUGGGCGUAAAGCGUGCGUAGGCGGUGUGUCAAGUCAGGCGUGAAAGCCCCGGGCUCAACCUGGGAACAGCGCUUGAGACUGGCACGCUCGAGUUCGGGAGAGGAUGGUGGAAUUCCCAGUGUAGAGGUGAAAUUCGUAGAUAUUGGGAAGAACACCGAUGGCGAAGGCAGCCAUCUGGACCGACACUGACGCUGAGGCGCGAAAGCGUGGGGAGCAAACAGG
rnacentral:rRNA from 1 species